rnacentral:rRNA from 1 species
UACGAAGGGGGCUAGCGUUGCUCGGAAUCACUGGGCGUAAAGGGUGCGUAGGCGGGUCUUUAAGUCAGGGGUGAAAUCCUGGAGCUCAACUCCAGAACUGCCUUUGAUACUGAGGAUCUUGAGUACGGGAGAGGUGAGUGGAACUGCGAGUGUAGAGGUGAAAUUCGUAGAUAUUCGCAAGAACACCAGUGGCGAAGGCGGCUCACUGGCCCGUUACUGACGCUGAGGCACGAAAGCGUGGGGAGCGAACCGG